rnacentral:tRNA from 1 species
GGCGGACGUAGCCNAGUGGAUUAAGGCAAU